CCCGGGUCCUGGGUUAAACCUGCUUGGGACCCCCAAAACCAUAGUAAUUGAUGACAACUGGCUUCUCUUUCUUGAAUCUCCUUAAUAUUUAUCGCCUCGUUUACUCUCUACUUCCACCUCCCUUGAAGAGUUCAACAGACUGAAAAAUCUUGAAGAAUUAGAAACCUGUUUGGUUAAAAUCACAAAUUCAGGAGAAAUUCAGUCAUGGUGCAAGUUCCUAUUGCUUUUGAAGUGCAAACCAUGGGAAGUUCGGGUUUGUUUCAAGAUGAAUUAAACUGCAAAUGAGCUUCACACUAUUCUAGAACAUAAUAUUAUUGUCUGUUUGGAAUUUGUUACUCAUAGGUUUUGCUGAAUGUUUUUUUAAUAUAAGAAAAACAAAUUUUAUUUUAGAAGUAUGGACUUGUGGAGAUAGUGUUUUAAAUAUUUGAAUUUUAUUCUUUUGACAUGAAACUAUAGAACACUCAUAUAUCUGUACUGUGUUAGUAUUCCUACUAGAGAAAACAGUAUGUAAAAGCAGUACCUUUAAACCUUGUUACAAGUAUCAGAUAGAUGUUCUUAAAAAGUUGGUAUUGAUAACCUGUAACUAAUAAAUGUGCUGACUGAAAUGUUAUAAUCUCACAUUUUAAGAGUCUUCUACAGUUACAAAUCCAUGUACUCAGGUUUUCCAAAGGCUUCAAAAAUCAGAGAAGCAGAAUGUCCAAGAGGCAAAGGAUAAAUAUCAGAAAUAUAUAUUAGUUAAAUAUCUACUUAAAGCCAUAAUCUGUUAAUACAGCUAUGGAUUUAUUUUUAAAAAUGUGUCUAAUAGUAUAGUUGUGUUUUCACUGUUGAUAAAGUUAUUAAAGUUCUUCACUUUCAUAGAGUCCAGAUUGAGCUGCCAGACGCUGAAAUUCUCCUUCAGGGUUAAAAGCUUGUUUUACAUCCAAGCCUCUCCCAUUAAGUGCUAAAUAUUUGCUGAAUGUUGGUCGAACACGUAACUUAGGAGCUGGAACAGUUUGAUUUGGACGAGCUGAAACAGAUCAAAUAAAAGUUAAUUCACAAAACCUAAACAAAUUGAUUACACUAGGUAUUAAUCAUCAUACAGGAAAAGAUAAAGAAACUGAUGAUGUACAGGGGAAAUCCCUCAGAUUUUACACUAUGCUGAGAUUUAUGUUUUUUAUUAAGUCUUAGCUAAAUUCUUUAGAAUACUUACAUACCUGUAACAUCUAACCUUGUGUUACAUGUGGUUACUCCGGCUUCAUUAACUGCAGAUACAGUGUACCACCCAGCGUCUUUCUUGUUUACAUCUUUUAUCAGUAAUGUAACUCUUCCAGCAUUGUCAUGAUAUAAGCUGAAAAGAAACAUUAAAAGAAAAGUGUAGGGACUCAUUUUCGUGCAUUUCAGUGAUGUCUCUGAUUUACAGAGUUACACUAAUUAGAAGAGAAAGGAGCAUUUGAAAGUUCUGUGGCUCUACUGAGUUGUUGUCAAAUAGCUGUUGGCUUUUUAAAAUAUCUUCCCUUUAUUUCACAACAUUUACUUCCUGGAGCCACCUUUCUUUGUUGUUUAGUGAAAAGGUAAUUCCCAAGGCUUUAAUAUUGCCUUAGAUUUCUGAUUAGUGAAUUCUGAUUUAAUGAAGUUUUAUUAUGCUCUGUAUAUGGUUAAAAACUACACAGAUAUAAUGACUUUAUGAUUCACAAUAUAUGUCAAAGUGUAACUGGAUUCUUCUAGGUAAGCCUAAAAA